rnacentral:lncRNA from 1 species
UGGUGGCGGUAAAUGCACCAGAAGUUGGUUUGCCAUCCGCCAUAAAACGUUAUUAGAAGAAGAACACACGUGCAGUUAGUUGCCGCACGCAAUUAAAAAAAGGAGGAAUUACGCGUGACUUUUUCUCCAAAUCGACUAAACUAACCUAAACAACUCGGACUGUCCAGAUGAUGUAGUAGGACUACACAAUGGUGGUUUAUUUACUGCCUGUUCUGCUUGGAAUCGCCUUGGCAGAUCCAGACUGCACUAAGAUCAAGUCGACGGUGGUGAAAAGAGGACAGAACAUCACCAUCAACUCAACUCAUCACAACGCUGAUAAAUCGGAGUACAAUCUUUUCGUUUCAUUUGUCAAUGGCACUAACGUUACAGAGAAAACCAUUGCGCAGGCAACAUGUUAUGAUUACACCUGCACUCCCGGAUCCAACAUCGUCUCAGGAAAGUCUGAAAUCUGCUGUGACCUUAACCAUGUCACCCUGAACAAGACGAACGCCAGUAUCCAUGACACCGGGAUUUACAAAAUCUAUCGCUUUGGUGCGUCUGUCAGGAGGAACGAGACUUGUGUGUACAGUAAUGUCACUGUCACGGGUAACGUUAAUGAACCUAUCAGCACUUCGCCCAGUCCAGGCAAUAAUGAGCCACAUUCAGGGUCUGUUGAAGCUGUUUGGGGUCCGAUCAUUGGGUGGAUCAUCUUUGGGCUGAUCAUUGGGCUGAUCAUCUACUUCCGUUACAAGAAGGUGGAGCGCUUCAAGAUAGCCAUUUGUAACUUCUGGAGUCAUCUAAAAUGUGUGAAUUGUUUCAACAAGAAGCAGGACAUGGCAGGGAAGAUGGAGAUAGGAGAAAUGGGAGUGAAUGGAGAAACGGGAGCGUUGGUAGACUCUGAAGCAACUAGAGAGAUUGGACAGAAGGAAGAGAUGAGAGCGAAUGGAGCAACAGGAGCAUUGGGAGUCUCUGAAGCAACAGGAGAGAUUGGAGAGAGCGAAGAGAGGGGCGAAACUGGAGAGGUGGGAGAUAUGAGAGCAAGGGAAGAGACGGAAGAGACUGAAAAGUUGGUAAGGCUACGGUGACCUAUCUAGGUAAACAGGUGGGGUAUGGUCAGGUACGCCCAGUGAUGGCUAAAAUUUCGGCUAUAAAUGAAUUUCCAGUGCUUAAAACACGACGCGAGUUGCGUAGAUUUUUGGGUAUGGCCGGUUAUUACCGGUGUUUUUGUCGAAAUUUCUCCUCAGUUGCUACCCCAUUAACUACUUUACUCAGUCCUUCAGAACUGUUUGUUUGGUCAUCUGAAUGUCAAACGGCAUUUGACAAUAUUAAAGUGUUGUUGUGUAGUGAGCCUGUCCUGGCUGCUCCAAACUUUUUAUUGGCGUUCAAAUUGGAGGUGGACGCGAGUGACGUGGGAGCUGGUGCCGUACUCCUAAAAGAGGAUGAGGAUGGAAUAGAUCACCCCAUUUGUUACUUCUCUAAAAAGUUUACUAGGAGUCAACGGAAUUAUUCAACAAUAGAGAAGGAAGCUUUGGCGUUGUUGUUGGCAGUCCAACAUUUCGAGGUUUAUGUUGGUUCUUCUACUUGUCCUGUGAUUGUCUAUACUGACCACAACCCAUUAACCUUUAUUUCACGUAUGCGUAACCAGAACCAGAGACUGAUGAGGUGGUUUCUUAUUUUUCAGGAUUACAAUCUCGAGAUCCGG